rnacentral:rRNA from 1 species
CGUGUGCUUACAAGUAGUCAGAGCCCGUUAAUGGGUGAUGGCGUGCCUUUUGUAGAAUGAACCGGCGAGUUACGAUUUGAUGCAAGGUUAAGCAGUAAAUGUGGAGCCGUAGCGAAAGCGAGUCUGAAUAGGGCGUUUAGUAUUUGGUCGUAGACCCGAAACCAGGUGAUCUACCCUUGGUCAGGUUGAAGUUCAGGUAACACUGAAUGGAGGACCGAACCGACUUACGUUGAAAAGUGAGCGGAUGAACUGAGGGUAGCGGAGAAAUUCCAAUCGAACCUGGAGAUAGCUGGUUCUCUCCGAAAUAGCUUUAGGGCUAGCCUCAAGUGAUGAUUAUUGGAGGUAGAGCACUGUUUGGACGAGGGGCCCCUCUCGGGUUACCGAAUUCAGACAAACUCCGAAUGCCAAUUAAUUUAACUUGGGAGUCAGAACAUGGGUGAUAAGGUCCGUGUUCGAAAGGGAAACAGCCCAGACCACCAGCUAAGGUCCCAAAAUAUAUGUUAAGUGGAAAAGGAUGUGGCGUUGCCCAGACAACUAGGAUGUUGGCUUAGAAGCAGCCAUCAUUUAAAGAGUGCGUAAUAGCUCACUAGUCGAGUGACACUGCGCCGAAAAUGUACCGGGGCUAAACAUAUUACCGAAGCUGUGGAUUGUCCUUUGGACAAUGGUAGGAGAGCGUUCUAAGGGCGUUGAAGCAUGAUCGUAAGGACAUGUGGAGCGCUUAGAAGUGAGAAUGCCGGUGUGAGUAGCGAAAGACGGGUGAGAAUCCCGUCCACCGAUUGACUAAGGUUUCCAGAGGAAGGCUCGUCCGCUCUGGGUUAGUCGGGUCCUAAGCUGAGGCCGACAGGCGUAGGCGAUGGAUAACAGGUUGAUAUUCCUGUACCACCUAUAAUCGUUUUAAUCGAUGGGGGGACGCAGUAGGAUAGGCGAAGCGUGCGAUUGGAUUGCACGUCUAAGCAGUAAGGCUGAGUAUUAGGCAAAUCCGGUACUCGUUAAGGC